AAAUGUUGCUUCUUUGAACGACUGCUUACUUGUUAUUUCAUGCGACACUUUAACUGUAGACAUGUUAUUGCACCGUGCACGUUUUUUUUAAAAUGAAGAUUUUAUUUGCUCACGUACCAACACGUUAGCAUUCAUUCGUUUUCUGACCAUUUUCUGACCAUUUCUGUCAUGAGGGGGCUGGAGCCUGUCCCAGAUGUCAUUCAAGAACAGCACAAGAUGUUGACCUGGCCUGUAAAUUCAUCGCACAGAGGCCCCUCCACUCGACCCACAGGACCCAAGUCCAUUCUGGACGAGAGGUGGGGUACACCCUGGACUGUCUCAGGGCCAACACAGAGAGACAGACAACCAUCCUCACAUCUACGGCCAAAUAAGAAUCACCAGUGAAAGAGCAUCUCUCUGGACGGUGGGAGGAAGCCGGAGUACCCGGAGAGAACCCACGCAGACACAGCAGAUGAAGCCGAGUGAUGUUACAAUAAACAUUCCAGAGGGUGUCGCCCACGAGGGGCCUAAUUAGAGACCCGGGAGGCCGAGCUGGAUGGAUGACUGCCGUGUGUGUCAGCUGAGAGAGGAGGAGGAGGGGCUGCGGAGGCUGAUGCAGGUGGCUGGAUGUGAAACGCUGGCUUUUAUCUUGGCUUUGAACACAGGCAGGUCGCGGAUGCUGAAGUACCUCCUAAUACGUCUCAGUGGAUUAUUCCUGCCGUGACCUCCAGCCUUCAUCUUGCAUAACUCAACAGGCGGGACACACCAGAGGCCCUGCAGCGGCCACCCAUGCUAAAGACGUACGGGAAACUUCCAGUGUAGUUAAUAAUGAGCUCAAGAACAACAAACUUCCCAAAAGACUUCAUGUAAACAAAAAUAAACAACAACACGGAGUGUGAAUGUUGUGUGUGGACCUGGAAAGAAAAACAAAAAAAAAAAACAGCAUUACAGUAACUUCAGCAGACCACAAGGAAUGUGGCCAGGCGGCGUGUACAGACAGGCCCAGCAUGUGAUCAGACACACACACACACACACACACACACACACACAAAGAAGACAAAGAGAGCCUUGCUACCAAAACUGCUCGGCAUCGCAGACUGAUAGCCGGGUGAGACGAGACGGGAGGUGUAAUGACAGGACUCCGGUUCAUUUUCAUAUCGGGCACACGAGCCGUUUUUAUUCAGGCGAGCACAUCAUCUGCUUGAACAACUCGGCCCUGAUCACAGAAUAAUGAAAUGGCUGUGAAAUACUAGAAAAGAGCAGCGGCGACUACACCAGCUACCCAACGAACAGAUAAAUAACCGGCUGGUAUAUUCGUUGAUUGGUUUGUUUGAGGAUCAUGCUUUCAUGACUGAAUGAAGCUUCUUAAAUGUUUUCCUCAUCUUCUACAUCUUCUCUGCGUAAACACGUUAUUGCUAAAGAAGAUGAUAGAUUCUACCACAGACCCUUCAUCCCAGCUGAAGCCAGGCUGUACAACACCAGUCUGAGUUCACAACAACUCACACCCGAGACUUGUCUUUGAGACCUGUUUUGUCCUUUUUACAGAUUCUUUUGCACAAUAAUCUGUUUCCUAUCUUGCACAAACUACCUCACUGUCCACGUUUACUAUCUUAGCAAUUGUAUCAUAUUGCAAGUUUUUAGCAUUUCUUUAAUUCCCCACCCAAUUUCAAUAUAUUUCCUGUAUAUAUUUCCUUUACACAUUUAU